UUCUGGACUUGCUCUGCAUGUCGGGCUCCCUGCACUUUUGGUGCGGCCAACCGACAUGGGGCUGUCUCUCCACUCUCCCUCCCGUCAUUGAAUUUGUCGGGUUGGGAUGCUCGUGAUCGGUUGCCUGUGCGGUUCUACCCUCUUGCGGGUAGCGAAGUCGUCCCUCGAUGGAUAUUUGCUUGCCCCGCUGACAUUUUGUUGUCGUUUGGGCAGCCGAAAUGUUGGCAAAAUCCUUGUGUUGGUGCGCGGUUGAAUGCCUCGUUGCUAUCGCUUGGAUUUUUGCCGGCUCUCACGGAUGCGGUGCCUAGUGCUAGCUCUGCGGGACUUUGCCCCGCAGACUUCGGGAGGUCCCGUGUACGAAUCAUUGCUCUCAUACGCCGUCUGUCGUGUUGCCGGUGGCGACACGCAGAUCGUGUUCUGCCGUGUCGUCGUUGGCGACGCGGCGCGGAACAGUGUGUCCGGAGCGUGCUCGCGUGCACGGGGAAUGCCUCUCCGUCCGUUCGAGCAGCGAUUUCCGGUUUUGCGUCGUGCGAAGGCCCGCCCGUCCGGGUUGGCGCCGGAGCUGACGUGCCGGCUCUCGUUUAAGACGUGC
rnacentral:misc_RNA from 1 species